rfam:Yersinia pestis CO92 complete genome
GUUUACCUAAUAGAUUUCAAGGUGUAGGAAGGUGGCGAGCGAAAGCAGCCAACACACCGACAACUUGAAAGAUGAAAGGUUGUUGCCGUGGAAACUUUUGGCCCAUCUUAGGAUGGGCUUUUUU